UAACUACAUUGUUAGAGCUUGGAGUUGGGACCGCUGGAUGGUCGAUUAACUCUCAAGUGUAAGUAGUGUGCUACACGAGGGGCAAUUUUUUCUGCUAACACCACAAGGGUCAUUGACCCAAUGAGUGGUAUUUGAUAAUAAUUCUUGCAAUAAAU